GACGAACGCUGGCGGCGUGCUUAACACAUGCAAGUCGAACGGAAAGGCCCUGCUUUUGUGGGGUGCUCGAGUGGCGAACGGGUGAGUAACACGUGAGUAACCUGCCCUUGACUUUGGGAUAACUUCAGGAAACUGGGGCUAAUACCGGAUAGGAGCUCCUGCUGCAUGGUGGGGGUUGGAAAGUUUCGGCGGUUGGGGAUGGACUCGCGACUUAUCAGCUUGUUGGUGGGGUAGCGGCUUACCAAGGCUUUGACGGGUAGCCGGCCUGAGAGGGUGACCGGCCACAUUGGGACUGAGAUACGGCCCAGACUCCUACGGGAGGCAGCAGUGGGGAAUAUUGCACAAUGGGCGGAAGCCUGAUGCAGCAACGCCGCGUGCGGGAUGACGGCCUUCGGGUUGUAAACCGCUUUCGCCUGUGACGAAGCGUGAGUGACGGUAAUGGGUAAAGAAGCACCGGCUAACUACGUG
rnacentral:rRNA from 1 species